rnacentral:rRNA from 1 species
UAUCCUUAUUUGCCAGCGCGUUAUGGCGGGAACUCUAAGGGAACUGCCGGUGAUAAACCGGAGGAAGGUGGGGACGACGUCAAGUCAUCAUGGCCCUUACGGGAUGGGCUACACACGUGCUACAAUGGCAGGUACAGAGGGCAGCAAUACCGCGAGGUGGAGCGAAUCCCACAAAGCUUGUCGUAGUCCGGAUUGGAGUCUGCAACUCGACUCCAUGAAGUCGGAAUCGCUAGUAAUCGUAGAUCAGAAUGCUACGGUGAAUACGUUC